UGAAUACGAGAUGCUACGGCGUCGAAGCAGUCUAUGUCAUACUUCCAAGAAAAGCUUGCACUGUCAUAAACAAAUAAUGCCUGUACCAUAACCGACACAGGUGGGUAGGUAGAGUAUACUAAGGGGCGCGAGAUAACUCUCUCUAAGGAACUCGGCAAAAUGACUCCGUAACUUCGGGAGAAGGAGUGCCUUAUUUAUAAGGUUGCAAUAACAAGAUCCAAGCAACUGUUUACCAAAAACACAGGUCUCCGCUAAGUCGUAAGACGAUGUAUGGGGGCUGACGCCUGCCCAGUGCCAGAAGGUUAAAGAAGUUGGUUAGCAUCCGCGAAGCUGAUAACUGAAGCCCUGGUGAACGGCGGCCGUAACUAUAACGGUCCUAAGGUAGCGAAAUUCCUUGUCGGGUAAGUUCCGACCCGCACGUAAGGCGUAAUGAUUUGGAUACUGUCUCGGAGAGGGGCUCGGUGAAAUAGACUUGUCUGUGAAGAUGCGGACUACCUGCACCAGGACAGAAAGACCCUAUGAAGCUUUACUGUAACCUGAAAUUGAAAUUGGACUUUACUUGCGCAGUAUAGGUGGGAGGCGUUGAGAAUAUUCUUGCGGGAUUAUUGGAGCCAUCAGUGAGAUACCACUCUUGUAAUGUUAGAUUUCUAACUUUGUAUCAUUAUCUGGUCAAAGAACAGUUUCAGGCGGGCAGUUUGACUGGGGCGGUCGCCUCCUAAACGGUAACGGAGGCGCACAAAGGUUUCCUCUGAACGGGUAGAAAUCGUAUCUAGAGUGUAAAGGCAUAAGGAAGCUUGACUGUGAGACCUACAAGUCGAGCAGGGACGAAAGUCGGUCUUAGUGAUCUGACGGUGCUGAGUGGAAAGGCCGUCACUCAACGGAUAAAAGUUACUCUAGGAUAACAGGCUGAUCUCCCCCAAGAGUUCACAUCGACGGGGAGGUUUGGCACCUCGAUGUCGGCUCAUCGCAUCCUGGGGCGGUAGUACGUCCCAAGGGUUGGGCUGUUCGCCCAUGAAAGCGGUACGCGAGCUGGGUUCAGAACGUCGUGAGACAGUUCGGUCCAUAUCCGGUGUAGGCGUUAGAAUAUUGAGAGGAGCCUUCUUUAGUACGAGAGGACCGAGAAGGACAUACCUCUGGUGUACCAGUUAUCGUGCCAACGGUAAACGCUGGGUAGCUAUGUGUGGAGUGGAUAACCGCUAAAAGCAUCUAAGUGGGAAGCCCACCUCAAGAUAAGUAUUCU
rnacentral:rRNA from 1 species